AUGCCCGUUUUAUCCAUCGAUGCACGAAGCUGAAACUUAGCUUUCAACUUCAAGUUUUCCGUGGGAUGGAUCGAUAGAACGAGUGUUCCCUCUU